rnacentral:rRNA from 1 species
GACGAACGCUGGCGGCGUGCUUAACACAUGCAAGUCGAACGAAGUGGCGCACGGGUGAGUAACGCGUAAUCAACCUGCCCUUCAGAGGGGGACAACGGUUGGAACCGACUGCUACUACCGCAUACUUAAGGAGGAGGUUGCGUCUGAUUAGCUAGGUGGAUGGGUAACGGCCCACCAAGGCCAUGAUCAGUCGCCGGUCUGAGAGGAUGAACGGCCACAUUGGGACUGAGACACGGCCCAGACUCCUACGGGAGGCAGCAGUGGGGAAUCUUCCGCAAUGAACGACAGUCUGACGGAGCAACGCCGCGUGAGUGAUGACGGCCUUCGGGUUGUAAAGCUCUGUUAAUCGGGACGCGGUACCGGAAUAGAAAGCCACGGCUAACUACGUGCCAGCAGCCGCGGCAAUAC